AGAGGACGUGAAAUCGGUGAGAUCGAAACGGAUAGUGCCAACGUAUCUCGGCUGUAUUCAGCGUUCAGUCGGCGCACAGCGUUGCGUUGUCGUUCUCGAUGAGACGAUGCGUGGUGUUGAGGUGCAGGUUGGGCGUGCAUUUGCAGCUUUGGUGCGCUGAGAGGCACGGUGGAGAUUGGUGAACUGCGUUUAGAGGACCUUGCUUCGGCUCGGAACCCUGGACAGUGGGUAGUCUUUCUCGCGCUGUGCUUGCCAUGUACGUCCUGGCAUACGCUAUGGCGCGUUCUUUGGAAGUCACCUAGGUGAAACGCUUGCGUUCUUGCCUUUGUUGGCGACUGAUUGUGCGUGUCGUAGCUCAGAGACGUUGUCUCGGCGUAAAAGUUGGUCUACUAACCGACCCGUCUUGAAACACGGACCAAGGAGUUUAGCGUAUGUGCGAGUCAUUGGGUGUUAAACCUAAAGGCGUAAUGAAAGUAAAGGGCCGCAAGGUCUGAUAUGCGAUCCUCGGGGUUACGGCCCUGGAGAGCAGCAUAGCCCCGUCUCAAUUGCUUGCAAUGGGGCGGAGGUAGAGCAUAUGCGCUGAGACCCGAAAGAUGGUGAACUAUGCCUGUGCAGGAUGAAGCCAGAGGAAACUCUGGUGGAAGUCCGAAGCGGUUCUGACGUGCAAAUCGAUCGUCUGACAUGGGUAUA
rnacentral:rRNA from 1 species